GACUCGCUGGGGUUUCGGCUUCAGGACAACGUGGGGCUGCGUCCACGCUGACGGGAGCUGGGUUUCCUGAGGGCGCAGGCGACGCCGGAGGAAAAGGAUCACAAAUGACAUGUGGUCAUCAUGAAUCUCGGGUGGCCUCGGCCUGCAGCGACUUGAAGCAGGGUUUUGGUUCACGUCCAGCAAUUGAGGUCGGGUCACGGCGGUGAGAGCACCGUAUCCUAGCCACUAGACCAGUGGUGAGUGACAAGGUCCUGGCCCUACGGCUUUGCAGAAGAGAAUUCGCACAAAGAUGAUUACAUUCUGUGAUGCUCCCAGGACAGUGAUACUACAAGGACAAAGGACGACCCUGCCUGAAAAUGUUUCAGCCUUUCACCCCCUACUGGACUCUUAAUUGCCCUUCCUACCAUGUUGCGAUGGUUAUGAAAUUCCUGAGCCCACCUGGGUGAAGGGACCUGUCCCACAUAAGGAAAGGCAUCUGCCCUGUCCCACUUUCACGCUAUAGAAGGAAGGUAUAUGUGCCUCGACCAAUCGUAAACAAAAUUUUCACCUUGCACCAUUUCUUUGUUUUCUGGCUAUAAAAACUGAUCAAUGUUCAGGCUUGUCUUGGUGGCAAGCUGGGGAAAAUCAUAGGAGAAAAUCCCAGGCUUUUGUCUGUCAGCUUGGGAAUGAUGUUUGAGCAGUGGCCAAUGUGCUUGGGUGCAGGUUGUGAGGGAAUAAUGAUAUCCUCAUCCUGUCCUUUAUCUGGUCCACAAGUUGAGAGCAAAAAGCAAAGUUCGGAGCUCUUGAUGUAAGGCUGUGCAUGGCAGACGGCACUCAUAUCAAGUGUCUUUUGAGUGGUGGAUGACCUGUGACAAGAAGUUCUUGACAAAUUUUUUAGUGACUGUGUGGACAGUAAUUGGUUUGGAAGGAUGCUGUGGGAGAAGACACCACAAAUAUACAUUAUAUUCGAAUUACCUCUCAAAUCAAGAGAAAAAAUAGAAGC